rnacentral:rRNA from 1 species
UGGCAGACGGGUGAGUAAUGUAUAGGAAUCUACCUAGUAGUACGGAAUAAUUGUUGGAAACGGCAACUAAUACCGUAUACGCCCUACGGGGGAAAAAUUUAUUGCUAUUAGAUGAGCCUAUAUUAGAUUAGCUAGUUGGUGGAGUAAUAGCCUACCAAGGCAAUGAUCUAUAGCUGAUCUGAGAGGAUGAUCAGCCACACUGGAACUGAGAUACGGUCCAGACUCCUACGGGAGGCAGCAGUGGGGAAUAUUGGACAAUGGGCGAAAGCCUGAUCCAGCCAUGCCGCAUGAGUGAAGAAGGCCUUUGGGUUGUAAAGCUCUUUUAGUGAGGAAGAUAAUGACGGUACUCACAGAAGAAGUCCUGGCUAACUCCGUGCCAGCAGCCGCGGUAAUACGGAGAGGGCUAGCGUUGUUCG